rnacentral:rRNA from 1 species
CAGAGGUUACUGCUAUMGAGRYUCGACUAAGCCAUGCGAGUUGAAUGUUCUUCGUGAACAUGGCGGACUGCUCAGUAACACGUGGACAACCUACCCUUGGGUCCGGCAUAAUCCUGGGAAACUGGGAAUAAUUCCGGAUAGGUCACCGAUGCUGGAAUGCGCGGUGGCCGAAAGCUCCGGCGCCCGAGGAUGGGUCUGCGGCCUAUCAGGGUUGUAGUGGGUGUAACGUACCUACUAGCCUACGACGGGUACGGGUUGUGAGAGCAAGAGCCCGGAGAUGGAUUCUGAGACACGAAUCCAGGCCCUACGGGGUGCAGCAGGCGCGAAAACUUUACAAUGCGGGAAACCGUGAUAAGGGGAUCUCGAGUGCCAGCAUAUAAUGUUGGCUGUCCAGAUGCCUAAAAAGCAUCUGUUAGCAAGGGCCGGGCAAGACCGGUGCCAGCCGCCGCGGUAACACCGGCGGCCCGAGUGGUAACCGCUAUUAUUGGGUCUAAAGGGUCUGUAGCCGGCCAGGUAAGUCCCUUGGGAAAUCUGGCAGCUCAACUGUCAGGCUGCUAGGGGAUACUGUUUGGCUUGGGACCGGGAGAGGUGAGAGGUACCUUGGGGGUAGGGGUGAAAUCUUGUGAUCCUCGAGGGACCACCAGUGGCGAAGGCGUCUCACCAGAACGGGUCCGACGGUAAGGGACGAAAGCUAGGGGCACGAACCGGAUUAGAUACCCGGGUAGUCCUAGCCGUAAACGAUGCUCGCUAGGUGUCAGUCACGGUGCGACCGUGAUUGGUGCCGUAGGGAAGCCGUGAAGCGAGCCACCUGGGAAGUAUGGCCGCAAGGCUGAAACUUAAAGGAAUUGGCGGGGGAGCACUACAACGGGUGGAGCCUGCGGUUUAUUG